AACGCAUCUUGCACUAUUCGGCUUCCCCGGAUAGUAUGCCUGGUUGAGUGUCUGUGUAUCUCUCCUACUCUAAUAUUUUUUUGGUAUUAGAAUAGGGACUUGGGGUCUUAUAACUCGUCGGAAGCUAUUCACUUAGUGCCCGGUGAACCCUUCAAAUAUAGUAAGCUCCCAUCUUUUCCACUAUGGAAAUACGCAAACUUGGGGAUGGCGUCGUAGCAAUCUACUUCUCUUAGUAUCAUUGUCGAAGCGCCUACUACAACUCCUAAUCUGCGGUGCUAAUCCAUAUAAGCUGGGCGAAGCUUGACGACUGGCAAAGUGCCAUGCUCCCCUUUUCUGGAGUACACGAACAAUAAUGACCUCAACUCAGGUAGGACGACCCGCUGGACUUAA
rnacentral:misc_RNA from 1 species